GACAGUUAAUGCCUUGUAACUUUGUAAGAAACAAACAAGCAGCAAUCUUAGCCUAAGCAUCUACCAAAACUCGAGUAGAGAAACAGGGUACUAAAUUGCAGAAACUGUAACUACAUACUCUCCACCAAUCUCAAAAAAUGAAUGCUGAAAAAGCAGGAACCAUGAACAGUAGCUUACUAUCAGUAGAAGAACUUACAUUUCUCACAAAAACUAUGCUGA
rnacentral:misc_RNA from 1 species